rnacentral:rRNA from 1 species
GGGUUGUGAGGUUAAGCGACUAAGCGUACACGGUGGAUGCCCUGGCAGUCAGAGGCGAUGAAGGGCGUGCUAAUCUGCGAUAAGCGCCGGUAAGGUGAUAUGAACCGUUAUAACCGGCGAUACCCGAAUGGGGAAACCCAGUGUGACUCGUCACACUAUCAUUAACUGAAUCCAUAGGUUAAUGAGGCGAACCGGGGGAACUGAAACAUCUAAGUACCCCGAGGAAAAGAAAUCAACCGAGAUUCCCCCAGUAGCGGCGAGCGAACGGGGAGGAGCCCAGAGCCUGAAUCAGCAUGUGUGUUAGUGGAAGCGUCUGGAAAGGCGCGCGAUACAGGGUGACAGCCCCGUACACAAAAGCGCAUGUGCUGUGAGCUCGAUGAGUAGGGCGGGACACGUGGUAUCCUGUCUGAAUAUGGGGGGACCAUCCUCCAAGGCUAAAUACUCCUGACUGACCGAUAGUGAACCAGUACCGUGAGGGAAAGGCGAAAAGAACCCCGGCGAGGGGAGUGAAAAAGAACCUGAAACCGUGUACGUACAAGCAGUGGGAGCCCCACCACUAAGCCAGUGGUGAACUCCACAUACGCAUCCUUUGCUGAGGAUACGGUUAACGGAGCGAAAGCGACGUUCAACCGCAAAAGAAGCAGAGGGGGCUUAGUGGUGGGGUGACUGCGUACCUUUUGUAUAAUGGGUCAGCGACUUAUAUUCUGUAGCAAGGUUAACCGAAUAGGGGAGCCGGAGGGAAACCGAGUCUUAAUUGGGCGUUAAGUUGCAGGGUAUAGACCCGAAACCCGGUGAUCUAGCCAUGGGCAGGUUGAAGGUUGGGUAACACUAACUGGAGGACCGAACCGACUAAUGUUGAAAAAUUAGCGGAUGACCUGUGGCUGGGGGUGAAAGGCCAAUCAAACCGGGAGAUAGCUGGUUCUCCCCGAAAGCUAUUUAGGUAGCGCCUCGUGAACUCAUCUCCGGGGGUAGAGCACUGUUUCGGCUAGGGGGCCAUCCCGGCUUACCAACCCGAUGCAAACUGCGAAUACCGGAGAAUGUUAUCACGGGAGACACACGGCGGGUGCUAACGUCCGUCGUGAAGAGGGAAACAACCCAGACCGCCAGCUAAGGUCCCAAAGUCAUGGUUAAGUGGGAAACGAUGUGGGAAGGCCCAGACAGCCAGGAUGUUGGCUUAGAAGCAGCCAUCAUUUAAAGAAAGCGUAAUAGCUCACUGGUCGAGUCGGCCUGCGCGGAAGAUGUAACGGGGCUAAACCAUGCACCGAAGCUGCGGCAGCGACACUCAGGUGUUGUUGGGUAGGGGAGCGUUCUGUAAGCCUGCGAAGGUGGCCUGUGAGGGUUGCUGGAGGUAUCAGAAGUGCGAAUGCUGACAUAAGUAACGAUAAAGCGGGUGAAAAGCCCGCUCGCCGGAAGACCAAGGGUUCCUGUCCAACGUUAAUCGGGGCAGGGUGAGUCGACCCCUAAGGCGAGGCCGAAAGGCGUAGUCGAUGGGAAACGGGUUAAUAUUCCCGUACUUGGUGUUACUGCGAAGGGGGGACGGAGAAGGCUAUGUUGGCCGGGCGACGGUUGUCCCGGUUUAAGCGUGUAGGUGUGUGUUCCAGGUAAAUCCGGUUCACUUUAACACUGAGGCGUGAUGACGAGGCACUACGGUGCUGAAGCAACAAAUGCCCUGCUUCCAGGAAAAGCCUCUAAGCAUCAGGUAACAUCAAAUCGUACCCCAAACCGACACAGGUGGUCAGGUAGAGAAUACCAAGGCGCUUGAGAGAACUCGGGUGAAGGAACUAGGCAAAAUGGUGCCGUAACUUCGGGAGAAGGCACGCUGACAUGUAGGUGAAGUGAUUUACUCAUGGAGCUGAAGUCAGUCGAAGAUACCAGCUGGCUGCAACUGUUUAUUAAAAACACAGCACUGUGCAAACACGAAAGUGGACGUAUACGGUGUGACGCCUGCCCGGUGCCGGAAGGUUAAUUGAUGGGGUCAGCGCAAGCGAAGCUCCUGAUCGAAGCCCCGGUAAACGGCGGCCGUAACUAUAACGGUCCUAAGGUAGCGAAAUUCCUUGUCGGGUAAGUUCCGACCUGCACGAAUGGCGUAAUGAUGGCCAGGCUGUCUCCACCCGAGACUCAGUGAAAUUGAACUCGCUGUGAAGAUGCAGUGUACCCGCGGCAAGACGGAAAGACCCCGUGAACCUUUACUAUAGCUUGACACUGAACAUUGAGCCUUGAUGUGUAGGAUAGGUGGGAGGCUUUGAAGUGUGGACGCCAGUCUGCAUGGAGCCGACCUUGAAAUACCACCCUUUAAUGUUUGAUGUUCUAACGUGGACCCGUGAUCCGGGUUGCGGACAGUGUCUGGUGGGUAGUUUGACUGGGGCGGUCUCCUCCUAAAGAGUAACGGAGGAGCACGAAGGUUGGCUAAUCCUGGUCGGACAUCAGGAGGUUAGUGCAAUGGCAUAAGCCAGCUUGACUGCGAGCGUGACGGCGCGAGCAGGUGCGAAAGCAGGUCAUAGUGAUCCGGUGGUUCUGAAUGGAAGGGCCAUCGCUCAACGGAUAAAAGGUACUCCGGGGAUAACAGGCUGAUACCGCCCAAGAGUUCAUAUCGACGGCGGUGUUUGGCACCUCGAUGUCGGCUCAUCACAUCCUGGGGCUGAAGUAGGUCCCAAGGGUAUGGCUGUUCGCCAUUUAAAGUGGUACGCGAGCUGGGUUUAGAACGUCGUGAGACAGUUCGGUCCCUAUCUGCCGUGGGCGCUGGAGAACUGAGGGGGGCUGCUCCUAGUACGAGAGGACCGGAGUGGACGCAUCACUGGUGUUCGGGUUGUCAUGCCAAUGGCACUGCCCGGUAGCUAAAUGCGGAAGAGAUAAGUGCUGAAAGCAUCUAAGCACGAAACUUGCCCCGAGAUGAGUUCUCCCUGAGACUUAGAGUCUCCUGAAGGAACGUUGAAGACGACGACGUUGAUAGGCCGGGUGUGUAAGCGCAGCGAUGCGUUGAGCUAACCGGUACUAAUGAACCGUGAGGCUUAACCUUACAACGCCGAAG